UACGUAGGGUGCAAGCGUUGUCCGGAAUCAUUGGGCGUAAAGCGCGCGUAGGUGGCUUCGUAAGUCCGUUGUGAAAGUCAAAGGCUCAACCUUUGAAAGCCGAUGGAUACUGCGGAGCUAGAGUACGGAAGAGGCGAGUGGAAUUCCUGGUGUAGCGGUGGAAUGCGCAGAUAUCAGGAGGAACACCAAUAGCGAAGGCAGCUCGCUGGGACGUUACUGACACUAAGGCGCGAAAGCGUGGGAGCGAACGAGG
rnacentral:rRNA from 1 species